rnacentral:rRNA from 1 species
GUGGGGAAUAUUGGACAAUGGGCGAAAGCCUGAUCCAGCCAUGCCGCGUGUGUGAAGAAGGUCUUCGGAUUGUAAAGCACUUUAAGUUGGGAGGAAGGGCAGUAAGUUAAUACCUUGCUGUUUUGACGUUACCGACAGAAUAAGCACCGGCUAACUUCGUGCCAGCAGCCGCGGUAAUACGAAGGGUGCAAGCGUUAAUCGGAAUUACUGGGCGUAAAGCGCGCGUAGGUGGUUUUGUAAGUUGGAGGUGAAAUCCCCGGGCUCAACCUGGGAACUGCCUCCAAAACUGGCGAGCUAGAGUACGGUAGAGGGUGGUGGAAUUUCCUGUGUAGCGGUGAAAUGCGUAGAUAUAGGAAGGAACACCAGUGGCGAAGGCGACCACCUGGACUGAUACUGACACUGAGGUGCGAAAGCGUGGGGAGCAAACAGGAUUAGAAACCCGGGUAGUCC